rnacentral:tRNA from 1 species
AGGGGUAUAGCUCAAUGGUGGAGUGCAUACUUCACGUGCACAGUGCCUGGGUUCAAUCCCCAGUACCUCUA